rnacentral:piRNA from 1 species
AGGACAGUCUGUUACUGUUGGGAGCCUGA